AUCUGAACCGCGAUAAAUUAAAGCGCCACCGGCCUCCCCACCCCACCUCUCGCACGCUUCUCCCUCCUGUCACCUCCCUCUGGCACGCUCUCUCUCUCUCUGUGAAGUGCGUGCGUGAGUCGUCGCAGACAAAUAGAGAGUAGCUAGAGGAGGCCGGCAAGGCGGCAAGGAAUCGAAGAGCUAGCAUGGCAGAGAAGGUGGUGUGCGUGACGGGCGCCGGCGGCUUCAUCGCGUCGUGGAUCGUGAAGCUCCUGCUCGAGCGCGGCUACACCGUCCGCGGCACCCUCCGCGACCCAGGUUGGUGUGUUGCUGCUACUGUCUGCUGCUCCACCCCUUCAGGUCCCUCCUAGCAUUCUGCUCGUUUAGCUGGGAAAAAAAACGGCAUCGAAUGAUUGGUCGUUGAAAUGCGCCAGGAAUUGAAACAGUGAAGUAGAACUAGUCCUAGGCUGUGUUUAGUUAGGGGUGAAAAAAUUUUGAUGGAAAUUUUUUACAACUUUAACCACUAAUUAAAAAUAUUAAAUUAAGUUUAAUUAUAAAAGCAUCUCCACAACCAUGAGUACUAUAGUAAUUUUGUACCUAACGAGGUCUUUAACCGCAUGAUUUGAUGAUGAUUAGAGUAUGAUCACUGUAGCAUUAUUGUAUCUAAUCAUGUAUUAAUUAGACUCAUUAGAUUCGGCUCGCAUAAUUACAUCUAUCUCUAAAAUUUUUUUACAAAUAAAUUACAUUUAAUACUCCAUGCAUAUAAAAUUACUUUUUCGCGAAAUUUUUAUUGUUACAACUAAGCGCGGCCCUAAUCUAAUUUGUUUGGUUCGAGGAUCUGUUUCGACUUUAAUUUUCCGGGCAGAGCGGCGAUGAUUCCAAUGGGGGUGCGGUGGGUUGGUGGUGCCCGGAAAACUCUGCCGGCGGCCACGUGUGGGGCACUGGUGGCGGAGAAACUCCGCUCGUGGCGCCCGUUCACCACCCCACCCCCGCGCUUUAUUGCUUGCAGAUCGGUGUCCCCCCUUCUAGGAUCGAAGUAGGUGGUUGGCUGUUGGCUGGUUUGGAGAUUCAAUCGAACAAGCAGCUUGCAUGUUCGUAAUUGCCAUGGCGAGUUCGAUCCUGACGCUAUGGCAAGGUGGUGGGCGGUGGCCCACCUACGCGUCGGCAUCACAGCUCCUACGGACGAUCCGACGAUGGCGUCAGAUGGCGGGGCUCGGCACGGGUGCGGUUACCGGAACGAGAUCCGGUGCAGUUGAGUGCCCUGCUGUGGUGUCCCUGACACGUGGGCCCCACAUAUGCAGGCCCACCUGUCAGUGGCCCAACUGCAGACUGCCGAACUGCUGCAAAUCCCUUUCCGCGGUUACCUCUCCGCGGUUACCGGUGCCGCCGAGCUGUGGGAGAGCCUCAGCGCGGCCACGCCAGGCAGCAAUUUGUGCUCAGACCGUCAGGCGCAGAGCUACCACGGGAGCGAAGCUGGGAUAUGAUGGGACCCACAGAACGCGUGUGAAAGAAACCAGGCCUCGCCCCCAAUGCGUCCCUCUCGUUUCUUCAUGCGUCGGAGUUCGGCCUGGACACUGUUUUAGAACAACUUUGAUUUUCUCUUUUUCUUUUUCCACUUUUUCUCAAUACAUGGGAUUGAUGUUGAAAAAAUUUACUUUAACAGAUUGAUUUUCCAUAUCUCUUUCCCCUUUAUUUUUUCUCAAUCCCAAUAGAAAGGGGAGUCAUCGCAUCUCCCUUUCCAUAUAAAAAGGGAGAAAAAUCAAUCUGCUGGAGCACUUCUUCAAUAUAUAUUGAAAUUGAGAAAGAAGAUUUCUCUAUAUGGUGAGAAAGAGAAAAGAGGAAGAUCAAUCUGUUGGAGUUGCUCUUAGAAAUGAUGUCUAUCUUUUUUCUCACAUUCCUCGUUAAUUCUAUUGCCAAUUCAACUUUUACUUUAUAUGACACCCUAUUAAAUUCUAUUCUAUGGACACCAACUAAGGCAAAGGGUUGGAACUGCCCUAAUAACUGUACUGCCCAUAAAACUCUCCCUCCUCUCUCAUCAUAGAUGACUCUAUCAUGUUAGUAAAUUUGCUGAUAUUGCAUGAUAUUUAAUGUUCCUGACACUCCUAUAACACUUCAUUGAGAUUGGCCUAACCCAAAUUUGUUUUACUAGUAGUUUAGAUAAAUCUUGUGUUUCAAUGUCAACGAAGAAGCAACAUUAGGGUCUGUCACCAAACUAGAGGACUUUUGGUUCAAAAAAAAAAAAAAAACUAGAGGACUUUUAUGGCACACGAUACUACCAUACAAGAAAUUGUUUCUGGGAAAUUAUUUCUCAUAACUGAAACAUAUAUCUCUGCAUUACAAAAUAUGCAUUAUCAAACUGAUAGUGGAGUCAAAUAGCUAGCUUUGUAUAACCAUAAGUUUAUACCUUACAAAAUAUAAGCUUCUAAUAGAAGCAAGCAAGAAAAUCAAUCUGUUAGAAGCAAGGUCGCUCACCAAGUCUCCCAGCCGAAGGACUCAAUCUGGAAUUCUGGACGAAUCCUCCGCUUCACUAACGUUGACCUGGAAGGGGCCACCCCAAUUAAAAUGAGAAGAGAAAAUGGCAAAGACCAGCAUCUCUAGUGGAGCGCUGACACCGAGCAUCUAGGGUUUGGGAAGGAGAGGAAGGAAAACCAUACCUCACGGCGGUGGCGUGAUGCAACAGGAUUUAGGAGGGCCCGAGGGAUUAGGUGGCCUCGACACGGCGAACUGAGGCGGCGGGGCCUAGGACAGGGAUGACGACGACACAACCGGCGGAGGCAGGGCUGAGUGGUUCGACACUGACCUGCAGCAAGGUGGAGUGAGCCCAACGUACUCGUCCUUCCUCUUCUCCUCGGCGGCGGCCGAGCACCGAAGACUCCAUGGCGGCCGCGGCCAGUCCAGACCUCCAGGGGCCAUGGCAACAGCAGCGGCAGCAGCGGCGCCCUCCCACACGGGUGUAGCCGCAGCCGGUGCCACACAGGGAGCGGUGACGGCUUCGGAGGCCAUCCCGUGGAGCAGUGGCUGGCGGCGGGAGGCGGCAGAGGCAGGUGCCCACGGCAGGCGGAGGCGGGGAGAGGAGGCGUCGCGUGGGGUUGGGGAGGCGGAGCGGAGCGUGGGGAAUGGGGA